AUGAACGCUGGCGGCGUGUUUUAGGCAUGCAAGUCGAACGAGUUGUGCCGCAAGGUGCAACGAGUGGCAAACGGGUGCGUAACACAUUGGUAACCUACCUCAGACACGGGGAUAACGCCGCGAAAGCGGUGCUAAUACCCGAUGGUCUUUCCCGUCGUAGGAUGGGAACGUAAACGGCGCAAGCCGGUCUGAGAGGGGCCUAUGGUCUAUCAGCUAGUUGGUGAGGUAAUGGCUCACCAAGGCAAUGACAGAUAGCGGGCGUGAGAGCGCGACCCGCCUCAGUGGGACUGAGACACUGCCCACACUCCUACGGGAGGCUGCAGUCAAGAAUAUUCCCCAAUGGACGAAAGUCUGAGGGAGCGACGCCGCGUGCAGGAAGAAACCCCUCGGGGCGUAAACUGCUUUUCUCUGGGAAUAACCCUGAAGGUACCAGAGGAAUAAGAGGCUGCUAACUUCGU
rnacentral:rRNA from 1 species